AAACCAUGAUAAGGACACUGCCUUAAUAAAUUUUUGAAUCUCCCCCAUGCUUCAAAUAGAGAUUCUCCAUCUGUUUGAGCAAAACUUGUAAUGCACUUCCUCAUAAAUAU